rnacentral:rRNA from 1 species
UACGAAGGGGGCUAGCGUUGCUCGGAAUCACUGGGCGUAAAGGGUGCGUAGGCGGGUUCUUAAGUCAGAGGUGAAAUCCUGGAGCUCAACUCCAGAACUGCCUUUGAUACUGAGAGUCUUGAGUACGGGAGAGGUGAGUGGAACUGCGAGUGUAGAGGUGAAAUUCGUAGAUAUUCGCAAGAACACCAGUGGCGAAGGCGGCUCACUGGCCCGUUACUGACGCUGAGGCACGAAAGCCAGGGGAGCGAACGGG